rnacentral:rRNA from 1 species
AGACCCGAAACCCGGUGAUCUAGCCAUGGGCAGGUUGAAGGUUGGGUAACACUAACUGGAGGACCGAACCGACUAAUGUUGAAAAAUUAGCGGAUGACCUGUGGCUGGGGGUGAAAGGCCAAUCAAACCGGGAGAUAGCUGGUUCUCCCCGAAAGCUAUUUAGGUAGCGCCUCGUGAAUUCAUCUCCGGGGGUAGAGCACUGUUUCGGCUAGGGGGCCAUCCCGGCUUACCAACCCGAUGCAAACUGCGAAUACCGGAGAAUGUUAUCACGGGAGACACACGGCGGGUGCUAACGUCCGUCGUGAAGAGGGAAACAACCCAGACCGCCAGCUAAGGUCCCAAAGUCAUGGUUAAGUGGGAAACGAUGUGGGAAGGCCCAGACAGCCAGGAUGUUGGCUUAGAAGCAGCCAUCAUUUAAAGAAAGCGUAAUAGCUCACUGGUCGAGUCGGCCUGCGCGGAAGAUGUAACGGGGCUAAACCAUGCACCGAAGCUGCGGCAGCGACACUGUGUGUUGUUGGGUAGGGGAGCGUUCUGUAAGCCUGUGAAGGUGGCCUGUGAGGGUUGCUGGAGGUAUCAGAAGUGCGAAUGCUGACAUAAGUAACGAUAAAGCGGGUGAAAAGCCCGCUCGCCGGAAGACCAAGGGUUCCUGUCCAACGUUAAUCGGGGCAGGGUGAGUCGACCCCUAAGGCGAGGCCGAAAGGCGUAGUCGAUGGGAAACGGGUUAAUAUUCCCGUACUUGGUGUUACUGCGAAGGGGGGACGGAGAAGGCUAUGUUGGCCGGGCGACGGUUGUCCCGGUUUAAGCGUGUAGGUGUGUGUUCCAGGUAAAUCCGGUUCACUUUAACACUGAGGCGUGAUGACGAGGCACUACGGUGCUGAAGCAACAAAUGCCCUGCUUCCAGGAAAAGCCUCUAAGCAUCAGGUAACAUCAAAUCGUACCCCAAACCGACACAGGUGGUCAGGUAGAGAAUACCAAGGCGCUUGAGAGAACUCGGGUGAAGGAACUAGGCAAAAUGGUGCCGUAACUUCGGGAGAAGGCACGCUGACACGUAGGUGAAGUGAUUUACUCACGGAGCUGAAGUCAGUCGAAGAUACCAGCUGGCUGCAACUGUUUAUUAAAAACACAGCACUGUGCAAACACGAAAGUGGACGUAUACGGUGUGACGCCUGCCCGGUGCCGGAAGGUUAAUUGAUGGGGUCAGCGCAAGCGAAGCUCCUGAUCGAAGCCCCGGUAAACGGCGGCCGUAACUAUAACGGUCCUAAGGUAGCGAAAUUCCUUGUCGGGUAAGUUCCGACCUGCACGAAUGGCGUAAUGAUGGCCAGGCUGUCUCCACCCGAGACUCAGUGAAAUUGAACUCGCUGUGAAGAUGCAGUGUACCCGCGGCAAGACGGAAAGACCCCGUGAACCUUUACUAUAGCUUGACACUGAACAUUGAGCCUUGAUGUGUAG